rnacentral:rRNA from 1 species
UGCCAGCCGCCGCGGUAAUACGGAGGGUGCAAGCAUUAAUCGGAAUUAUUGGGCGUAAAGGGCGCGUAGGCGGGAUUGCAAGUCAGAUGUGAAAUACCGAGGCUUAACCUCGGUGCUGCAUUUGAAACUACAAACCUUGAGGAUAGACGGAGAAAACGGAAUUCCACAUGUAGCGGUGAAAUGCGUGGAUAUGUGGAAGAACACCUGUGGCGAAAGCGGUUUUCUAGUUUAUUCCUGACGCUGAGGCGCGAGAGCAAGGGGAGCGAACAGGAUUAGAUA